rnacentral:misc_RNA from 1 species
UUUCCGUAGGUGAACCUGCGGAAGGAUCAUUAAUGAGCUGUCAUGGGGUUCGAUGCUGGCAGCCAGUUUUUGGAUGCAUGUGCUUGCCCUAACAAUCAUCUUCUUCCAAACACCUGUGCACAUUUUUGAGGGAGUCUUGAGUUGGUUGCCGCUCUUGGGUGAUUUUCUCACAUUCCCUUAAAUCAUUAUACGCUAUUAACAAUGUUGAACGUGCUCUGUGCCGCAAGGCCAUUAAUAUAAUACAACUUUUAACAACGGAUCUCUUGGCUCUC